AAAACUCGGGGCUCAACCCCGAGCCUGCAGUCGAUACGGGCAGACUAGAGUGCUGUAGGGGAGACUGGAAUUCCUGGUGUAGCGGUGAAAUGCGCAGAUAUCAGGAGGAACACCGGUGGCGAAGGCGGGUCUCUGGGCAGUAACUGACGCUGAGGAGCGAAAGCGUGGGGAGCGAAACGGAUUAGAUACCCUGGUAGUCCACGCCGUAAACGGUGGGUGCUAGGUGUAGGCGGUAUUCCACGCCCUCUGUGCCGCAGCUAACGCAUUAAGCACCCCGCCUGGGGAGUACGGCGCAAGGCUAAAACUCAAAGGAAUUGACGGGGGCCCGCACGAGCAGCGGAGCAUGUGGCUUAAUUCGACGCAACGCGAAGAACCUUACCAAGGCUUGACAUACACCGAAAACUCCAGAGAUAGGGGGUCCGCAAGGGCGGUGUACAGGUGGUGCAUGGUUGUCGUCAGCCCGUGUCGUGAGAUGUUGGGUUAAGUCCCGCAACGAGCGCAACCCUCGUUCUAUGUUGCCAGCGCGUUAUGGCGGGGACUCAUAGGAGACUGCCGGGGUCAACUCGGAGGAAGGUGGGGACGACGUCAAAUCAUCAUGCCCCUUAUGUCUUGGGCUGCACACAUGCUACAAUGGCCGGUACAAAGGGCUGCUAAACCGCGAGGUGGAGCGAAUCCCAAAAACCGGUCUCAGUUCGGAUUGGGGUCUGCAACUCGACCCCAUGAAUCGGAGUUGCUAGUAAUCGCAGAUCAGCAACGCUGCGGUGAAUACGUUCCCGGCCUUGUACACACCGCCC
rnacentral:rRNA from 1 species